GACGAACGCUGGCGGCGUGCCUAAUACAUGCAAGUAGAACGCACAGUUUAUACCGUAGCUUGCUACACCAUAGACUGUGAGUUGCGAACGGGUGAGUAACGCGUAGGUAACCUGCCUGGUAGCGGGGGAUAACUAUUGGAAACGAUAGCUAAUACCGCAUAAUAUUGAUUAUUGCAUGAUAAUUAAUUGAAAGGUGCAAUUGCACCACUACCAGAUGGACCUGCGUUGUAUUAGCUAGUAGGUGAGGUAACGGCUCACCUAGGCGACGAUACAUAGCCGACCUGAGAGGGUGAGCGGCCACACUGGGACUGAGACACGGCCCAGAAUCCUACGGGAGGCAGCAGUAGGGAAUCUUCGGCAAUGGACGAAAGUCUGACCGAGCAACGCCGCGUGAGUGAAGAAGGUUUUCGGAUCGUAAAGCUCUGUUGUAAGAGAAGAGUGGGUGUGAGAGUGGAAAGUUCACACUGUGACGGUAUCUUACCAGAAAGGGACGGCUAACUACGUG
rnacentral:rRNA from 1 species